UAAGGAAUAUUGGUCAAUGGACGCAAGUCUGAACCAGCCAUGCCGCGUGAAGGAUGAAGGUCCUCUGGAUUGUAAACUUCUUUUAUCUGGGACGAAAACGGGAUUUUUAUCUCAAUUGACGGUACCAUAGGAAUAAGCACCGGCUAACUCCGUGCCAGCAGCCGCGGUAAUACGGAGGGUGCAAGCGUUAUCCGGAUUCACUGGGUUUAAAGGGUGCGUAGGCGGAUAUGUAAGUCAGUGGUGAAAUCAACGGGCUCAACCUGUUAACUGCCAUUGAUACUGUGUAUCUUGAAUAUGAGAGAGGUAGGCGGAGUGUUGCAUGUAGCGGUGAAAUGCUUAGAUAUGCUACGGAACACCGAUUGCGAAGGCAGCUUACUAUUUCGUAAUUGACGCUGAGGCACGAAAGCGUGGGUAGCGAACA
rnacentral:rRNA from 1 species